rnacentral:rRNA from 1 species
CGGAACACGUACAGAACCUUCCUUUAAGCGGGGGAUAGCCCAUAGAAAUGUGGAUUAAUACCCCAUAGUAAUAUUUGAUGGCAUCAUUAGAUAUUUAAAGAUUUAUCACUUAAAGAUGGCUGUGCGGCUGAUUAGGUAGUUGGUGCGGGUAACGGCCCACCAAGCCAGCGAUCAGUAACUGGUGUGAGAGCACGACCAGUCACACGGGCACUGAGACACGGGCCCG